GAGCUUGCUCUUCUGGAUCAGUGGCGAACGGGUGAGUAACACGUGAGUAACCUGCCCUUGACUCUGGGAUAAGCGUUGGAAACGACGUCUAAUACCGGAUACGAGCUUCAGCCGCAUGGCUAGGAGUUGGAAAGAAUUUCGGUCAAGGAUGGACUCGCGGCCUAUCAGGUUGUUGGUGAGGUAAUGGCUCACCAAGCCUACGACGGGUAGCCGGCCUGAGAGGGUGACCGGCCACACUGGGACUGAGACACGGCCCAGACUCCUACGGGAGGCAGCAGUGGGGAAUAUUGCACAAUGGGCGAAAGCCUGAUGCAGCAACGCCGCGUGAGGGACGACGGCCUUCGGGUUGUAAACCUCUUUUAGCAGGGAAGAAGCGAAAGUGACGGUACCUGCAGAAAAAGCACCGGCUAACUACGUGCCAGCAGCCGCGGUAAUACGUAGGGUGCAAGCGUUAUCCGGAAUUAUUGGGCGUAAAGAGCUCGUAGGCGGUUGGUCGCGUCUGCUGUGAAAUCCCGAGGCUCAACCUCGGGUCUGCAGUGGGUACGGGCCAGCUAGAGUGCGGUAGGGGAGAAUGGAAUUCCUGGUGUAGCGGUGGAAUGCGCAGAUAUCAGGAGGAACACCGAUGGCGAAGGCAGUUCUCUGGGCCGUUACUGACGCUGAGGAGCGAAAGCGUGGGGAGCGAACAGGAUUAGAUACCCUGGUAGUCCACGCCGUAAACGUUGGGCGCUAGAUGUGGGGACCAUUCCACG
rnacentral:rRNA from 1 species